AUGCUCAUUUGGACAUCACUUGUAUUAAAAUUGGAACAAUAUGGAGAAGAUUAGUGUGGCCCCUGUGCAAGGAUGACACGCACAUUCAUGAAGUGUUCCAUAUUAAA
rnacentral:snRNA from 1 species